AUAGAGUCAAGUGAAUAAGUGCAUCAGGCGGAUGCCUUGGCGAUGAUAGGUGACGAAGGACGUGUAAGCCUGCGAAAAGCGCGGGGGAGCUGGCAAUAAAGCUAUGAUUCCGCGAUGUCCGAAUGGGGAAACCCACUGCAUUCUGUGCAGUAUCCUAAGUUGAAUACAUAGGCUUAGAGAAGCGAACCCGGAGAACUGAACCAUCUAAGUACCCGGAGGAAAAGAAAUCAACCGAGAUUCCGCAAGUAGUGGCGAGCGAACGCGGAGGAGCCUGUACGUAAUAACUGUCGAGAUAGAAGAACAAGCUGGGAAGCUUGACCAUAGCGGGUGACAGUCCCGUAUUCGAAAUCUCAACAGCGGUACUAAGCGUACGAAAAGUAGGGCGGGACACGUGAAAUCCUGUCUGAAUAUGGGGGACCAUCCUCCAAGGCUAAAUACUCAUCAUCGACCGAUAGUGAACCAGUACCGUGAGGGAAAGGCGAAAAGAACCCCGGGAGGGGAGUGAAACAGAACCUGAAACCUGAUGCAUACAAACAGUGGGAGCGCCCUAGUGGUGUGACUGCGUACCUUUUGUAUAAUGGGUCAACGACUUACAUUCAGUAGCGAGCUUAACCGGAUAGGGGAGGCGUAGGGAAACCGAGUCUUAAUAGGGCGAUGAGUUGCUGGGUGUAGACCCGAAACCGAGUGAUCUAUCCAUGGUCAGGUUGAAGGUCUUAGUAACAGGUACUGGAGGACCGAACCCACGCAUGUUGCAAAAUGCGGGGAUGAGCUGUGGGUAGGGGUGAAAGGCUAAACAAACUCGGAGAUAGCUGGUUCUCCCCGAAAACUAUUUAGGUAGUGCCUCGAGCAAGACACUGAUGGGGGUAAAGCACUGUUAUGGCUAGGGGGUUAUUGCAACUUACCAACCCAUGGCAAACUCAGAAUACCAUCAAGUGGUUCCUCGGGAGACAGACAGCGGGUGCUAACGUCCGUUGUCAAGAGGGAAACAACCCAGACCGCCGGCUAAGGUCCCAAAUGAUAGAUUAAGUGGUAAACGAAGUGGGAAGGCACAGACAGCCAGGAUGUUGGCUUAGAAGCAGCCAUCAUUUAAAGAAAGCGUAAUAGCUCACUGGUCGAGUCGUCCUGCGCGGAAGAUGUAACGGGGCUCAAAUCUAUAACCGAAGCUGCGGAUGCCGGUUUACCGGCAUGGUAGGGGAGCGUUCUGUAGGCUGAUGAAGGUGCAUUGUAAAGUGUGCUGGAGGUAUCAGAAGUGCGAAUGUUGACAUGAGUAGCGAUAAAGCGGGUGAAAAGCCCGCUCGCCGAAAGCCCAAGGUUUCCUACGCAACGUUCAUCGGCGUAGGGUAAGUCACUACCUAAGGCGAGGCAGAAAUGCGUAGUCGAUGGGAAACAGGUUAAUAUUCCUGUACUUGAUUCAAAUGCGAUGUGGGGACGGAGAAGGUUAGGUUGGCAAGCUGUUGGAAUAGCUUGUUUAAGCCGGUAGGUGGAAGACUUAGGCAAAUCCGGGUUUUCUUAACACCGAGAAGUGAUGACGAGUGUCUACGGACACGAAGCAACCGAUACCACGCUUCCAGGAAAAGCCACUAAGCUUCAGUUUGAAUCGAACCGUACCGCAAACCGACACAGGUGGGCAGGAUGAGAAUUCUAAGGCGCUUGAGAGAACUCGGGAGAAGGAACUCGGCAAAUUGAUACCGUAACUUCGGGAGAAGGUAUGCCCUCUAAGGUUAAGGACUUGCUCCGUAAGCCCCGGAGGGUCGCAGAGAAUAGGUGGCUGCGACUGUUUAUUAAAAACACAGCACUCUGCCAACACGAAAGUGGACGUAUAGGGUGUGACGCCUGCCCGGUGCCGGAAGGUUAAUUGAAGAUGUGCAAGCAUCGGAUCGAAGCCCCGGUAAACGGCGGCCGUAACUAUAACGGUCCUAAGGUAGCGAAAUUCCUUGUCGGGUAAGUUCCGACCCGCACGAAUGGCGUAACGAUGGCCACACUGUCUCCUCCCGAGACUCAGCGAAGUUGAAGUGGUUGUGAAGAUGCAAUCUACCCGCUGCUAGACGGAAAGACCCCGUGAACCUUUACUGUAGCUUUGCAUUGGACUUUGAAGUCACUUGUGUAGGAUAGGUGGGAGGCUUGGAAGCAGAGACGCCAGUCUCUGUGGAGUCGUCCUUGAAAUACCACCCUGGUGUCUUUGAGGUUCUAACCCAGACCCGUCAUCCGGGUCGGGGACCGUGCAUGGUAGGCAGUUUGACUGGGGCGGUCUCCUCCCAAAGCGUAACGGAGGAGUUCGAAGGUUACCUAGGUCCGGUCGGAAAUCGGACUGAUAGUGCAAUGGCAAAAGGUAGCUUAACUGCGAGACCGACAAGUCGGGCAGGUGCGAAAGCAGGACAUAGUGAUCCGGUGGUUCUGUAUGGAAGGGCCAUCGCUCAACGGAUAAAAGGUACUCCGGGGAUAACAGGCUGAUUCCGCCCAAGAGUUCAUAUCGACGGCGGAGUUUGGCACCUCGAUGUCGGCUCAUCACAUCCUGGGGCUGUAGUCGGUCCCAAGGGUAUGGCUGUUCGCCAUUUAAAGUGGUACGUGAGCUGGGUUUAAAACGUCGUGAGACAGUUUGGUCCCUAUCUGCAGUGGGCGUUGGAAGUUUGACGGGGGCUGCUCCUAGUACGAGAGGACCGGAGUGGACGAACCUCUGGUGUACCGGUUGUAACGCCAGUUGCAUAGCCGGGUAGCUAAGUUCGGAAGAGAUAAGCGCUGAAAGCAUCUAAGCGCGAAACUCGCCUGAAGAUGAGACUUCCCUUGCGGUUUAACCGCACUAAAGGGUCGUUCGAGACCAGGACGUUGAUAGGUGGGGUGUGGAAGCGCGGUAACGCGUGAAGCUAACCCAUACUAAUUGCCCGUGAGGCUUGACUCUAU
rnacentral:rRNA from 1 species